GACAAAUGUCAGUACGCCUGCUGCAUUCCUCUGGGAUAAGAGAAAUGAAGUCAUUACAUUGGAAAGUGAAUCAUGUGCCCAGGAUACACCCCUCUCACCCUGAACACACUGACUCUCCCAGGUUAAGGUCACAGAUCCGGCAGCUGCAAGAGUUCUGGUAGCCGGGAAAGGGUGAGGCAGAAGUGCCACGUAAAGAACAUCAAGGGUUAUGACAUUCGAGAUGGCAAUGACAGAGAGCCCGGCGUUUCAUCAGGUGUCUUGAUUCAUCUAAAGAGGGGGAAGAAGAAGUAUGAUGAAUUUUCAUCCCCUCAAGACCCGUCGGACUGGAUAAUGGAGUGCUGUGGUAGACAUGUAUCGUUUUGUCUGGCCAGUGUCAAAUAAAAAGAAAUCUGGACUGAGGAAUUCAGUGCCCCUGCGAACCAGUGUAGCAGCUCCCAGACAAACUGUCAAGAACGGAAUUUAGGGGCCAGCCCAUGGCCGAGUGGUUGGGUUCGCAUGCUCCACUUCAGCGGCCCAGGGUUUCGCAGGUUCAGAUCCUGGGCGCGGACCUGGCCCUGCUCAUCAGGCCACGCUGAGGCAGCGUCCCACAUGCCACAACUAGAAGGACCCACAACUAGAAAUAUAUACAACUAUGUACCGGGGGGCUUUGGGGAGAAGAAGGAAAAAUAAAAUCUUGAAGAAAAAAAAAAAUGAAGUUAAUUGGAAGUGCCAUUUUCCAAGAUGCUUGCUUAUUCUUUUAUAAAGGAAAGGGC
rnacentral:lncRNA from 1 species